UACGAAGGGGGCUAGCGUUGCUCGGAAUCACUGGGCGUAAAGAGCUCGUAGGCGGUGUGUCGCGUCGGCCGUGAAAACCUGCAGCUUAACUGUGGGCUUGCGGUCGAUACGGGCAUCACUGGAGUUCGGCAGGGGAGACUGGAAUUCCUGGUGUAGCGGUGAAAUGCGCAGAUAUCUGCAGGAACACCCGUGGCGAAAGCGGCGAGCUGGACCACUACUGACGCUGAAGAACGAAAGCUAGGGGAGCAAACAGG
rnacentral:rRNA from 1 species